rnacentral:tRNA from 1 species
GGGGCGCUAGCUCAAUUGCGUAGAGCAUCUGGCUUUUACCCAGACGGUUUCGGGUUCGAGUCCCGGGCGUCCCACCA